rnacentral:lncRNA from 1 species
AAAUAGUCAUUUUGUGGUGACUCUGGAUGGCUCCAGAUUCUGUUUUGGUGGAAAUAGGCCACGGGAAGAAAAAAAGAAAAAAAGGGGGGGGGGGAUGGAAUGGAGAAAGAGGGGAGGACUUACUGAUGGCGGCAAUUUCGCCCCCAUCCCUUGUCUCUGUAUCCUCCUCCACCUCCUCCUGUUCGUUUUCAUGUCCGUCUGUGAGUUGCUUAAAGCGCGCUUACGAUGGCGUGUCGGUGAGUAAUCACCGCUGACUUGGGCGGUUGGCAGCGGUUAGCUGCUCAUCUUCUGAAUUGGGCUCCGGUUCCGACUCCGUGAACUGCUGCAGGUAUGGCCACUACAAGAACAUGACUUUCCUUGUAUUUGUACUUUAAAUUGUAAUGAGUAGCCGCUUAAUUUCAGUUUUGUUGUCAGAAUCACGGGUAAUUACGUGUUUAUAGAAAUUGAAUUAAGGGUUUUCUGAAGCCCUUGAAUAUAUAUAUUAUCAACUGACUGUAGUUAGACGUUACUUGUUAUUCCUGGUAGUAAACUAGUAACUGGUAAGAUUUAUUAAUCAAAAAGCAAGUGUGGAUGAAAAUUUACCAUAGAACACAUUUGCAUUGAGGAGGAUUUGCCAGUGUUGUAUUUCAAUACUUAAGUCAGUCGGUGGCAUGUACAAAACAAAGUUGUAUAUUUUGGGAAUGUCAGUUUACAGCCCAUUCAUUAGAGAGUGACUCGGAUUUAUGUGAUAUGGUUACAUAAAUGUGGUUUCCAUAUAAAUAUGGUUAUGUAUGUAUGUAUGUAUGUAUGUAUGUUCGAACUUGAUUUAUGGUGGUUAAUAGACUAUUAAUUAACCGUGAUUUUAUUUUGUUUUUGGGGCGGUAUAACACCCAUUUGGUGUGAUUUGGUUGUGGAAGCAAAUGUUGGAUAUUUCCGUUACCAGAAUAUUAUUUGGAAAUGGAUAAAGGACUGAAUGGUGAACUACGAAAGACUUAAUCCCAUUCAAGGGUACGUAAGUAGUCUAAGGCCAUCUCCAACCGAAAGGUCUAGAGGGUCAGAGGGCCGAAAAUAGCCCAAAACCCGUCUCCAACUGAGGGCUAGGCCAGAGCGCUCUGGAAUCUGGAGGGUCCCACGGAAUCGGAGAGGGUUGGAGGGUUGGCCAUUUUUUUUUAAUGUUUUGUUAUUUCUGUCGGUUAUAGCCGACAGAAAUAAUAUAUACUAUAUUAUUAGUGUCGGUUAUAAUCGACACUAAUAGCAAUGUUAAUAUAAUAGCAGUUUGAACAGUGUCAGUUAAAACCGACACUAAUUUGAAUUCCAACGGCUAGCCAGUCACUAGCCGUUGUAUUCAUUUUUUUUUUUUUUAUAAAUUUAAACCUUUUUUUUUUCUAUAACUUCCUAUAACUUUUUUUCUAUAACUUAUAUUUUACAAAUUUUGGUUCAUAUUUUUUUUCGUAUAACUUCUAUUUUACAAAAUUUGUUUCAUAUUUUUUUUAAAUUCCAUUUUUUUCCUAUAACUUCUAUUUCACAAAAUGUGUUUCAUAUCUUUUUUAAAUUCCAUUUUUUUCCUAUAACUUCCAUUUCACAAAAUUUGUUUCAUAUUUUUUUUAAAUUCUAUUUUUUUUCCUAUAACUUCCUAAGUCAUUAUACAACAUUAAAUUAAAUUAAGUAACAUUAAACAACAUUAAACAAUAUGAAACAACAUUAAAUAACAUUAGCUGUUGGAUUUGAAUUUAAGUUGUAGUUUUUAAAUAAUAAAUUAUGUUUGGCCCUUUGACCUUUGGUUAGAGGCGGUUUUUUGUGACAGGGCUAAAAUGAGCCAUCUGGCCCUCGGUUGGAGACGGAGACAAAUAUGGUCAUGUACUGUUCAUUAAAAUAUUAAUAUCUUGAAGGAUCUCGGAAGGCCAGAGGGCUAAAACGAGCCCUCUAGCCAGCGAUCGGUUGGAGAUGGCCUUACAGGGUUAGAUGCAGCCUUAAAUACUCGAGAAUUAAUCUUUAGAAUGGAAAUUGAUCUAAUAAAAGAAAAUGGUGAUAAAUUGAUAAUAUAAUCGUAUUUUUUGGUAAGAAAAUUUUUGGUAUUAAAUCAUGGGUGCAAUUAAGGCAUUUCAUUAAGGAAUCACAAUUAAUGGUAGUUAACUAAAGAAGAAUUUAGUUUAGGCCUAUCAUUGCAAUUACUUCCGAAAAUAAAUAUUUCGGGGCGGGGUGUUACAAACACCAUGUCCGGACGAGUUGCAUAUUAGGUAUACGUUCAAUGUUAGAGGUUCCAAGUAGGACAAUAUUAGGAAAACCUAAGCUUCGAAAUAUGCAUAGGUAAUUCAUAAGUAAUUGGAAGAAUUACGUAAGAUUAUUAAGGUGACAACGAAAUUCUAUCGUCUCUUUAAAUUGAUUUUCUUUAAAUUGUUUUCUAGUUGAUUUAUUUAAUUUUUUUUAUUUUAAAUUCGUUUUUAUAUAUUUUAAGUCACAAAAUCAACAUUUUUUAAAACUUUGUUUUAAGUAAAUAAUUAAUAUUUGAUUUUACAUAAAUUAUUUUAGUAAUCCCUGUGGUGAACGACCUUAGUUAAGCCGCUUAUAAUACGAUUAUCUUGUAAGUAUUUUUAAGUUGUUGCAAUCAUAUUUACAAUAGGAAUAUGAUUGUGUAAAUCCUAGAAGAUUUAGGAAUGUAUCUUAUAUUCCUAUUAAGAGUUGAUUACUGAUUAAGAGUUGUAAUCCUAAAGGGAAAGACUUUUACCUAUCCUAAUACUAUAAAUAAAGGCACAAUGGGGUGAUACAAACACACCUCACAAUUACAUCACUCUCUCUUCUCCCUCUCUAUACCGCCGGCCCCCCUCUCUCUAAUCCCUUAAAUUAGUUCAAUCAAAUAGGCCUACAACACGUUGCACGCUCUUGCCAGAAACUAAGGAAUUGACGGAUCGUAGGAGGAGACUAUCUUUUACAAAAUUCAAAGGCUUAUAUUUUUUUUCUGUUAAUCAAGUACGCUUAAAAUAAUAAGAUAUUUGAGAUGUCCACGAAGCAUGAAAACAUUCAUCAUGAUGCAUGAACUCCCUAUGUUUAUAUUUUCCUUACAAAAAAAAAAAAAAUAUAUAUAUAUAUAUAUAUAUAUAUAUAUUUGUUUCAUGCAUUACGCAUUUAUAUUUGCUAUGUGGAAUUUGUGAGUCAAAACAUAUAAAUAAAUUAUAAGCAAUUUAGGAUUUUUCAAACCCUAGGGAUAUAAAUAAAAUAAAAUAAAAUAAACAUUGGGCAAUGUGCGGCACCACCACUGCAUCAUCCAUCGUGGCAUCGUCGGACCAACACUGGCUUGAAGCCCAAUCGAGUGUACCACACGGCAGUGCCUUUGGGCUUACUGCAGGCUUGAAGUCCUUUAAGCUCAACCAAGAAAGCCUGCAGCCUUCUUGGCCUGUUGUCCCAUGGUUUAAAACCUGCUUGAAGUAGUUUGUAGCCCAUUGGGCUGUGUCACACGCCCCGGCCCGCUUCCCGCAUCUUUGUCUACUGGGUUGAAGCCUGCCCUGACCCAGCCUCGACUGGGCUCCCUAUGUGAACCCAAGGCCAACGAUCUAUGGGCCUAACUCAUGCCCCCCCCCCAUUUGGCCCAAAGCUAGUAGCGCUGCUGCUGGGCUCCCUUGCUUACGGCCCGUGGCCUGCAGCCACCUCGUGGGCUACCUUUUGCAGCCAACCCGAGCCCAAAUCAUUUUUGGGAUAUAUUUUUUUUGAUCCAAUGCUAUUAUUUAUCAUUUUAAAUAAUUCUAACCCGAAUGUUAUUAUUAGUUUUGCUUCUACAAUCGAUCUUGUAUGGUCCGAUUUAUUGAAUUAAUUACAAGUGACUCGCAGUCCAUUAAUCUGAUAAUUAAUCCAAAAUUAUUAACCUGAAUAUCACUUUUGGACAUUAACAACAAUAAUUUAUUUUUAUACUUUGAACUGUUGACAUACUUUUGUAGUAACGAAGCUCUCACAAUUGAGUUUCCGAAGAAACUCAAAUCUAUUACACUUAAAUCAACAUAUUGCAUUAUGUGUUUCUUGCAGGAACCUCUUCUUAUGAACUAAUCGUUCAUAAAAACUAAUUUGAACCAGUAGUUUCAAAAUUAGUGUUUUUGAAACCUGAAGUUUUCAUUCAAAACAUACUACAUGAAACCUGUAGUUUUCAUGCAUAAAUUAAACCAAUACAUGUCUAUAAAACCUGUAUGUUCUACGAUAUAUGUCUAUAGCUUACCAUAUGACUAAUCACGUUUUUUUUGUACCUCUUGUUAUAGGGACAUGUCGAACUUGAACAAGCUUGAUUUAACCGCUCUAGAAGUCUUUGAAAGAAACUAUCUGAAGUGGGUUCAAGACGUGAAGCUUUAUCUCACUACAAAGCUUGAUUUAACCGCUCUAGAAGUCUUAGGUUUCUUACCAAAAGAGAAUUUGAACCACAUUAUUGUUAGUCCAUUGUAGGCUAAGGUUUGAUUUGGG